rnacentral:rRNA from 1 species
AACGAACGCUGGCGGCAUGCCUAACACAUGCAAGUCGAACGAGACCUUCGGGUCUAGUGGCGCCCGGGUGCGUAACGCGUUGGAACAUGCCCUUAGGUUCGGAAUAACUCCCCGAAAGGGGUGCUAAUACCGGAUAAUGUCUUCGGACCAAAGAUUUAUCGCCUUUGGAUGGGCCCGCGUUGGAUUAGCUAGUUGGUAGGGUAAAAGCCUACCAAGGCGACGAUCCAUAGCUGGUCUGAGAGGAUGAUCAGCCACACUGGGACUGAGACACGGCCCAGACUCCUACGGGAGGCAGCAGUGGGGAAUAUUGGACAAUGGGCGAAAGCCUGAUCCAGCAAUGCCGCGUGAGUGAUGAAGGCCUUAGGGUUGUAAAGCUCUUUUACCCGGGAUGAUAAUGACAGUACCGGGAGAAUAAGCUCCGGCUAACUCCGUG